rnacentral:lncRNA from 1 species
GCUCUCUGUACCAGGUACCCUCCUCCCCUCUACCACAUACGCACCAAUGGCAGCGCUCUCUGUACCAGGUACCCUCCUCCCCCUCUACCACAUACGCACCAAUGGCAGCGCUCUCUGUACCAGGUACCCUCCUCCCCCUCUACCACAUACGCACCAAUGGCAGCGCUCUCUGUACCAGGUACCCUCCUCCCCCUCUACCACAUACGCACCAAUGGCAGCGCUCUCUGUACCAGGUACCCCUCCUCCCUCUACCACAUACGCACCAAUGGCAGCGCUCUCUGUACCAGGUACCCUCCUCCCCCUCUACCACAUACGCACCAAUGGCAGCGCUCUCUGUACCAGGUACCCUCCUCCCCC